UCCAGACUCCUACGGGAGGCAGCAGUGAGGAAUAUUGGUCAAUGGGCGGGAGCCUGAGCCAGCCAAGCCGCGUGAAGGAAGAAGGCGCCAGGCGUCGUAAACUUCUUUUGUCGGGGAACAAAGGGCGCCACGCGUGGCGUUGUGAGUGUACCCGAAGAAAAAGCAUCGGCUAACUCCGUGCCAGCAGCCGCGAUAAUACGGAGGAUGCGAGCGUUAUCCGGAUUUAUUGGGUUUAAAGGGUGCGUAGGCGGUCGGAUAAGUUAGAGGUGAAAUCCCGAGGCUCAACUUCGGAAUUGCCUCUGAUACUGUUCGGCUAGAGAGUAGUUGCGGUAGGCGGAAUGUAUGGUGUAGCGGUGAAAUGCUUAGAGAUCAUACAGAACACCGAUUGCGAAGGCAGCUUACCAAGCUACUUCUGACGUUGAGGCACGAAAGCGUGGGGAGCAAACAGGAUUAGAUACCCCGGUAGAG
rnacentral:rRNA from 1 species